CCUACGGGAGGCAGCAGUGGGGGAUAUUGCACAAUGGGGGAAACCCUGAUGCAGCGACGCCGCGUGUGGGAAGACGGUCCUAUGGAUUGUAAACCACUGUCCCCAGGGACGAAGAUGCCGGUCCCUGCGGAGGACGCUCCGGCUAACUACGUGCCAGCAGCCGCGGUAAUACGUAGGGAGCGAGCGUUGUCCGGAUUUACUGGGUGUAAAGGGAGCGAAGGGGGGGAUGCAAGUUGGGUGUCAAAACUACCGGCUCAACUGGUAGUCGCACUCAAAACUGCAGCUCUUGAGUGAAGUAGAGGCAGGCGGAAUUCCUAGUGUAGCGGUGAAAUGCGUAGAUAUUAGGAGGAACACCAGUGGCGAAGGCGGCCUGCUGGGCUUUUACUGACGCUGAGGCUCGAAAGUGUGGGGAGCAAACAGGAUUAGAUACCCCAGUAGUC
rnacentral:rRNA from 1 species